GACUCAAAGAUCAGGCGCAAAUCCGCAAGCUUCUGGCGGGCCAGGCCCUGUACUGCAAUCGUGCAACCAAACGUGCACGUUUAGAAAUGGCCUCGGAAGUGGCUGUCAAGAACCCUGCAGGUGUAGCUCCGAAGAACACGGCCUUACUACACCUGCAAAUUUCAGUGGUCCGGGAACUUGCGUGAAAUCUUUUUAGUCAUAGGGGCCGUAUCGUGCUGGGCUUCGCGAUGACAAAUGCAAGAAAAAUAAAAGUCUCAUUUGGAA